GACGAACGCUGGCGGCGUGCUUAACACAUGCAAGUCGAACGGAAAGGCCCUGCUUUUGUGGGGUGCUCGAGUGGCGAACGGGUGAGUAACACGUGAGUAACCUGCCCUUGACUUUGGGAUAACUUCAGGAAACUGGGGCUAAUACCGGAUAGGAGCUCCUGCUGCAUGGUGGGGGUUGGAAAGUUUCGGCGGUUGGGGAUGGACUUGCGGCUUAUCAGCUUGUUGGUGGGGUAGUGGCUUACCAAGGCUUUGACGGGUAGCCGGCCUGAGAGGGUGACCGGCCACAUUGGGACUGAGAUACGGCCCAGACUCCUACGGGAGGCAGCAGUGGGGAAUAUUGCACAAUGGGCGGAAGCCUGAUGCAGCAACGCCGCGUGCGGGAUGACGGCCUUCGGGUUGUAAACCGCUUUCGCCUGUGACGAAGCGUGAGUGACAGUAAUGGGUAAAGAAGCACCGGCUAACUACGUG
rnacentral:rRNA from 1 species